rnacentral:piRNA from 1 species
AGAGAAUUCAAUUCUGAGUAAUCUGAU